rnacentral:lncRNA from 1 species
CGUAUUUCCUGUUGGCCGAGCCGCGCGUACAGCUCAUCUAUCGCUCCCAGCUCCACGCAGGUCAACACAAGCUUGGCAGGGUCUCAGUAUGUAGUCCAGACUGGCUUCGAGCUUGCAGCAAUCCACCUGUCUCACCAUCCCAAGUGCUGGGAUAACAGUUAGGAAGCCACAACUUGAAUAGGAUAAGUUCAUCAUUGGCCCUCUCAUCCAGGACAUAGGUGUACACCACUGAAGCUUGGCCUUUACUUCUGAUUGAUCAGGAAGCUGUAUGUCUGAAUGAAAAAACAACCUACAAGGGGGUUUCACCCCAUAUUCUCAUUCCUGAAUGACAAUGAUUCCCUGAGUCCUUGGACGGAAGUUGUGUCCUGGCUCUGUUUUCCUAGUGUGAAAAUCAGAUAUGAGCAAAUGGCUUUAAGGAAGUGAGGGUGACUUUAUAAGGAGCUAAUGCAGAAGAAGUCUCUUUGGAAAAAGAAACUGGCGCCUGGGACGCUUUAUGCACUGGAAGGCCAUGAACCUCAGCAUAUCUCAAGGACUUCAAGGAGAGAGGAAUUCACCCAAAUGUACAGGUUCAGAAGCAAGUGAGGUGUCUCACUAACUGUAUGUUGGUGCCAGAAAUAGCAGAGACCAAAGAGGAAUGUUUUCUUCACCCAUAGGAAGGUUCAUGGCUGAAAUGCCUAUAAAAAAAAGACAAAUUCACAAGAGAAAAGCGUAAAAAAUAUAAUCAACAUAAGUUUGAAGUAAUGUGGGAGCCUUCAGAAAUGAAGACCUAGAGCUGGGGAUUUAGCUCAGUGGUUGCCCCACCUGCUCUGUGAGCACAAAGACCCAAGUUUGAUCUCCGGCAUCAAAAAAAAAAGAAAAGAAAUGAAGACCUAAAGACCUGGGGACAACUGUAUUUGUUUUUUUUUUUUGUACCAGAGAUCAAACUCGGGUCCUUUCACUUGCAAGGCAGGUGGCGGAACCACUGAGCUAAAUCCCCGGCCCUGAAUUUUUAUGAACAGUCAAGAAGUGUAACAGGUUAUGUUCUAAUGGUAAUAAACAAGGGGGAACUUAGCUGGGCCUGUUUGUUCAGGUUCUUAUUGAUCUCUGGGUAUAGAGCAGGAUCUCUCAGAGAUUAGUUUUAGGAGCCAGUUUCAGGAGCAGGAGGUCAGAAGGUUGUUUUAUGACUUGCUUCAAGGGAGAAGAGUAGGAGCAAGUGAGAGUGAC